rnacentral:rRNA from 1 species
GGGGGAUAUUGCACAAUGGGGGAAACCCUGAUGCAGCGACGCCGCGUGUAGGAAGACGGUCCUCUGGAUUGUAAACUACUGUCUUCAGGGACGAAAAUGACGGUACCUGAGGAGGAAGCCACGGCUAACUACGUGCCAGCAGCCGCGGUAAUACGUAGGUGGCGAGCGUUGUCCGGAAUUACUGGGUGUAAAGGGAGCGUAGGCGGGGCGACAAGUUGGACGUUAAAUAUAUGGGCUCAACUCAUAUCAGCGUUCAAAACUGUAGUUCUUGAGUGAAGUAGAGGCAGGCGGAAUUCCUAGUGUAGCGGUGAAAUGCGUAGAUAUUAGGAGGAACACCAGUGGCGAAGGCGGCCUGCUGGGCUUUUACUGACGCUGAGGCUCGAAAGUGUGGGGAGCAAAC